GAUGAACGCUGGCGGCGUGCCUAAUACAUGCCAGUCGAGCGAACGGACGAGAAGCUUGCUUCUCUGAUGUUAGCGGCGGACGGGUGAGUAACACGUGGAUAACCUACCUAUAAGACUGGGAUAACUUCGGGAAACCGGAGCUAAUACCGGAUAAUAUUUUGAACCGCAUGGUUCAAAAGUGAAAGACGGUCUUGCUGUCACUUAUAGAUGGAUCCGCGCUGCAUUAGCUAGUUGGUAAGGUAACAGCUUACCAAGGCAACGAUGCAUAGCCGACCUGAGAGGGUGAGCGGCCACACUGGAACUGAGACACGGUCCAGACUCCUACGGGAGGCAGCAGUAGGGAAUCUUCCGCAAUGGGCGAAAGCCUGACGGAGCAACGCCGCGUGAGUGAUGAAGGUCUUCGGAUCGUAAAACUCUGUUAUUAGGGAAGAACAUAUGUGUAAGUAACUGUGCACAUCUUGACGGUACCUAAUCAGAAAGCCACGGCUAACUACGUG
rnacentral:rRNA from 1 species